UACGGAGGGUGCAAACGUUGCUCGGAAUUAUUGGGCGUAAAGCGCACGUAGGCGGACCAUCAAGUCGGAUGUGAAAUCCCUCGGCUUAACCGAGGACGUGCAUUCGAAACUGAUGGCCUUGAGUACGAAAGAGGAUCGCGGAAUUCCCGGUGUAGAGGUGAAAUUCGUAGAUAUCAGGAGGAACACCGGUGGCGAAGGCGGUUCUCUGGGCAUGUCCUGACGCUGAGGAGCGAAAGUGUGGGGAGCGAACAGG
rnacentral:rRNA from 1 species